UACGUAGGGGGCAAGCGUUGUCCGGAUUUAUUGGGCGUAAAGAGCGUGUAGGCGGCCAGAUAGGUCGGUUGUGAAAACUGGAGGCUCAACCUUCAGAGGUCGACCGAAACCAUCUGGCUAGAGUCCGGGAGAGGAGAGUGGAAUUCCUGGUGUAGCGGUGAAAUGCGCAGAUAUCAGGAAGAACACCCGUGGCGAAGGCGGCUCUCUGGGACGGUACUGACGCUGAGACGCGAAAGCGUGGGGAGCGAACAGG
rnacentral:rRNA from 1 species